CCUACGGGUGGCAGCAGUGGGGAAUAUUGCACAAUGGGGGAAACCCUGAUGCAGCGACGCCGCGUGAGUGAAGAAGUAUUUCGGUAUGUAAAGCUCUAUCAGCAGGGAAGAAAUAAAGGCCUUUUGACUUAGGACGGUACCUUAAUAACAAGCCCCGGCUCACUACGUGACAACAGCCGCGGUAGUACGUAGGGGGCAAGCGUUAUCCGGAUUUACUGGGUGUAAAGGGAGCGUAGACGGCAGCGCAAGUCUGGAGUGAAAUCCCAUGGCUUAACCAUGGACCUGCUUUGGAAACUGUGCAGCUAGAGUGCAGGAGAGGUAAGCGGAAUUCCUAGUGUAGCGGUGAAAUGCGUAGAUAUUAGGAGGAACACCAGUGGCGAAGGCGGCUUACUGGACUGUAACUGACGUUGAGGCUCGAAAGCGUGGGGAGCAAACAGGAUUAGAUACCCCAGUAGUC
rnacentral:rRNA from 1 species